rnacentral:antisense_RNA from 1 species
UUUGAUCGAUCCCAACCACAGCGGCCGAUCCGCCGGCCUAUGCUGCCCGUAGGUCGCCAGGAUCGCCUGUGCCUC